ACUUACGGCCACCCGGAUUGGGGACGGCAGGCAAGAGGCACGGUGGGCUGAGCUGGGAACAGGAAGCAGGCGCAACGGUGGAGAGCAGACAUUAAAAGAACCGCACACGUGGGGAUAAAGACACAAGCUCUGGGAAGGGCCCACAGAAAGAAACAAGGGACCUCCUUUAGCCAGGGAAGGGCUGAGCUGGAACAGUUCCACCGAGCUAGCAAGGCAGAGAAGAAUUUCACCUGCUCAGCGUCCUUGCCUCAAAAUUGUACCUCUCUCCAGCUCCAUGUGAGGUGAGGCUGCCUCUUGGAGCACUUGGAUCACACCGGUACCAAACAUGGACUUUCUCUGCACUUCUAGCCCCGUGGAUGACCUGCGAGUGGCAUUUUCUGGGUACAACUGAGGCAUCCAGCUGGUGCUCCUUACAUGUGAGCAGAACAAAUCCCACCCACUGUCCCUGAGGAGGCCAUCCAUUCCUUACCGAAACAAUCCACUAUCCUACUGGCAGAGUUAUCAGCUCCAGGGAGCCAAGGUAAACUGAGAGUGAAAUGUUUUUUGGAGAGCCCACAGAGACAUGUCACAGUUCUCUCCGUUUCUGGGCCUUCGAGUCAUGAGGAUCAGUCUCUGAUGUGGGACAGGGAUACAGCCACCCCUCCCAGGCAACUGGCAGCAAAACAUGAGAGGAGAACAGCAGAAAGGUGGAGCCAACCGUGGGAGAACCACACUUCUAGAGCCCAAAAAGGGCAAAAACAGUCACACAAGAACAGAAGAGCUCUUAAGAAUAGUGGGCUGGAUUCUAAAACUGGGACCCAAACACCUGGACAUUUCCUGUGUCCCUGCUGUGAUUGGCAGUGGGCUGGGGGCACAGAUCUGAAGCCCACAGAACCCUGCCUUCAGGAGCUCAGAGUUGGUGGGUCCAGGAGAAGUGGAAUAAAUGAGGCAGAGUAUGAAACCCUGAGAGAGUUGGUCCUGCUGACCUCUUCAGUACCCUUCCCCUCACCCCUUGGCCUUGUACCUCACGCUCAUGGUCAAAAUGGACUAUGGUGGUUACCCAAACACACUGCCAGGUGCUCGUACCCCUGCUAUUUUCACUUCACUACUUGGAAUACUUUUCCUCCUCUUUGCCUAAUAAUCCUUCAAGCCUCAGCUAAAAUGUUACCUUCCUGCUGAAUGGUCUUUCAUUUUAUUAAAGAAAUACAGGCAUUAAUUGAGUGCUUACUACACUCUUACUCACCUCUCCCUCCCAGCUCUGGCAGAAAUAAUUACAGUGGACCCUUACACCACACGAGAGUGAAAUGCAUGGGUCCACUUAUACACAGAUUAUUUUCGAUAAAUACUGUACUGUACUUAUGAUUUUCUUAAUAGCAUUUUCUUUUUCUAGUUUAUUCUAAGAAUACAGUAUUCAGUACAUAUAACAUACAAAAUAUGUGUUUACUGACUGUUUAUGUUAUCAGUAAGGCUUCUAAUCAACAGUGGGCUAUUAGUAGGUAGUUUUGGGGGAGUCAAAAGUUAUAUUCGGAUUUCCAACUGCUCAGGGACCAACAUAACCCCCACAUUAUUCAAGGGUCAACUGUACUCUUCUCUGUGUUCCCACACCAACCACUGAUUUAUUCAUUGAUCCGCUUUACUAUCAUUCACAGGCUCACUGCUUUGUUGUUUAUUCAGUGGGCACUUACCACAAGCUAGGUUCUUAGCAUAUCUUCUUCUCUGCCACUAAUAACAUCAUGUUUUAACUAUUAGUUUCCUGUCUAUCUCCUUCUCAAGACUGACAGACCUUUAAAGGGCAGAGCAUUUGGCUCAGUAACACCUUUGGUCCCUAGCAUAGGAUCUGGGUACGGCAGGUAGGCCCCAGCCAAUGAUUCAUGAUUCAUAUGCAAAUAAAUUAGGAGUAUCUGGGUCUUUUGGGGUGAGAAGAUGUGGGUGUUUAGAGGAAUUCUGUGAGCAGGCUUCUUGUAGGGUGAAGACCCACCCAGCCCCUCUACCUUCUACCCCUCUACCUGGUCUCCUCAGGACCACCCAGCUCAUCACAUUCUUCAGACCACAAGACCAUCCAUUAAGUACUUACCAGGGUCAUGAGCCUCAAGAUCUCAGGUCUGAGGAAGGAACUCUCUCCAGCAUCCAGGAGGGUGAACAGCAAAAACCGAUUCCAGGGCUGGGAGACCACAUGGAAUGCUACAGGAAACACCAGUCACUCUAGGCUGUUACUGCUACUUUUCCAUAGACCAUGGAGCAUUGCUGAAGAGGACUUUCUCGGAUUGCUCAAACAGGGGUUGCCCAGCUAGAGGCAGGGCAUUGGACAAACUGACCUGAACGCAGGAAGUUUCUUUCUUCCCUGGGCUUCUAUCCACCUAUGCUACCUGGCCCAGGGAAACCACAUAUCCCACUAUUGUGGGAAGCAGGCAUAGGAAGAGCUCUGCCAUUUAAGAGCUUUUGACCUUGGUUGGGCAGGUUCCUUGAUCUCUCUGAACUACAAUGUCCUCAUCUGUAUAAUGGGCAUGGCAAUGCCCUUGUAGUAUUAUGAAAAGAAUUAAACAAAAUGAGUGUGAGUCAAAGAACAGAGGUUGGAAGUCUGGGACAGGAGGGUGGCAGGGGCUGGCUGCCCCUAUGAGAACAUCAGAAAAUAGGGAGGGUUUCUACCGAUGUCUGGGCUCCGGGCAUGCAGGUAAUCAAGCAAGGCUUCCAGGCAGGCAACACAGGCAUAGGACAACAGAGGGUCCUUCUGCAAACAAACAAACAAAACCCCACAGAAGUUAAUGUCAGGUUUUGCUACCAAUGAGUUUUGGUGUCAAUCAAGAAAAAAAAUCUGGUUUUCAGAAUAAUUUGGAUUUCAGAAUUUCAGAUAUGGGAUUGUAGCCCUGUAGAUAAUCAAGGAAUGUUCGUUGGUUUCAUGUCUAACACACACACAGAGCAGAGCACAGUGCUUAUACUGAUGAUUCACCUAUGUUCUACCUACAUUCAAGAGGCUGUUUCAGAAAAGGAGAUAAGCCCUGGGCCCCAUUAAGAGAUUCAUAGAUUACAGACUCUGUAAGAACCUCACAGUUUAUCUAAGCCAGUAAGUUUCAACCUUUUUUUAAAGCAGAACCUUCAUCAAACAAAAUUUUAUGCUCUAAUAAGCAUGCCAAAAUAUCUCAUUGUCAUCAGUCAUUAGGGAAAUGCAAAUGAAAACUACCACUACACACCCACCAACAGCUAAAAUUAAAAAGACUGACGAUACCAUGUGGGUUAGAAUGUAGAGCAACUAGAACUCUCAUAUAGUUCUGGUGGGAAAGUAAAUGAUGCAACCAUUUUGGAAAACAAUUUGAUGGUUUCUUAUAAAGUAAAUAUGUACUUACCAUAUGUGCUAGGCGGAAUUUUAAGAUGGUCCCAUGACCUUUGCUCCCAGAUGUUAUUCCUGUGAUUAUGUUACAUUAUAGGGCAAAAUGAGAUUGUUGGGGCCUUGAAAAAUCAUUUUCUCUGGCUGGUGGCAGAAGAACCAGAGAGCCUGGAGAUGUGAGAAGGACUCAGCACACAUUGCUGCUUUGAAGAUAGAGGGGCCCAGUGAGGAAGAAUGUGGGCAAAGAGCUAGAAGAGGCCCCUGCAGAAGAAGUGGAUUUCUUCCCAGAUUCCCAAGAUAAGCACCCAGUCUGGCCAACACCUUGAUUUCAGCCUUGUGAGACUCUAAGCAAAGAACUUGCUCAAACCCACUCAGACUUCUGAUAUAGAAAACUGUGAGGUGAUAAACGGUGUGGUGUUAAGCCAUUAAGUUUGUGAUAACUUGUUACACACAUUAGAGAACAAAUACCUCAUUUGACCCAGCAAUUCCAGUCCUAUAUAAGAGAAAUAAAACUAUAU